rnacentral:lncRNA from 1 species
CAACUAAAAUGCAUUUUCCUCUCCAAAAGAAAAAUACUAAAACGCUUUUAGACAUUUUUUAAUCUAAAUUUUGUUUUUUCUUCCAGAAAUGCCCAACAAAAACCCCAAACAGAGUUCUCAAAUUUAUUGACUAAAAAAUUCCCAAAACAUAGCAAGAAACCAAAUACAAUCAUUAGAAGGAAAAACCUAAUAAAUAAACAUAAGGCUCGUCCUCCCCCACACACUGAACAUAAGGCUCUUACUCCACUACACACAAAUAGAUUAGGGAAUGAUUCUUCUCCCAACUGUUUUUUCUCAUUCCUGUCAAAAUAGCCGACUGAAGCUAACUCACGCAGAUGUAUUCUCAGCAUGAGUUAAAUCACGUAGGUGUAUUUUUCAACGAGGUGAGAAAAAUAGAUGGGAGAAGAUCAAUUCACAAUAGAUUAAUGUCUCCAAAUAGUACUACAUAUCUAUUAUAAAUAGUUCUUCAUUACUGAUUACUCUUUAGCUCAUAUAAUCCACAUGGUAUGCAUAUAUUACAUGAUUGACCAUAGCUUUAAUGCUAGAAAUCUAUGCCUGGUUGACCAUAGCUUAAUGCUAGAAAUCUAUGCCUGGCACCUGUGCUGAUGCCUUCUUGGUAAAGUUAAACGAUCACCUCUCACUCGAUUGUUUGGCCAAUCAACUCUCCCAACAGAUAUAGUGAUCGACUCAAUAAUAUGAUAAUCCCAAAAUAAAUAAAAAAUACACACAUGCAAAUAAAAAAGUACUUGUCUAUGCACAUCCCUCAAAAUUGUAGGUAAUAAUAUAUCAAAUCAAAAUAAGCACAACAAAAGUAAAAAUAAUUGAUUUUUUUUAUCUUCCAACAAGUAAAGCACUCUUUCCCAAAUUCAGAAUAAAACAUUUCAUGGUUUAUCUGAAUGAAUUCCAGAACAACCACCUAAUGUAUCAUAGUUAACAAAUCUGCUUGGAGCUGAGUUAUGCCUAUACCCUUUAGGUAAACAAUUCUUGACUUGUCUCCCUUGGAAGAAUUUUUGUUUGUGAUCCAAAUGUGGCUUCAAAUAAUUAGUUUCACCAAAGAGAGGUCUUGUAACUGUACUAGGAGCACUACUAGGAAUGAUCCUUGCAGCCAUGUUUGUGUCCAAAGAAUUUAGUAAAAGAACAAGGUAAAGUACAAGAAGAGUGAUGAAAUGUGAAGAAGACAUCAAAAAUAUUUUUUAAACUUGUAAUUUUGUCUUUGAUUUUGAGUUUGUAUAUGUGAGACUGAAAAGAGAGGUUUUAUGGUAGAUUGGUGUAAAAGGGUUGAAAAUAAGUGUCUUAAAUAGGCUCGUGAAUAGCUGAAGAAUGCAGAUAUUUUUACAGCUCAUUGGUAUAGUACAUCAUAAAAUAGAGAGGUUGUGUGAUGAUAAUGAGUUGGCGAGGUGGGUGCUUUCUUUUUAUUUGUGCAGCAGUGAGGAUGCUCGUGAGUUCUUGUUAGUGUUAUUGCUCUUGGAAAAAUUUGUCCUCUUUUUUGCCC